rnacentral:rRNA from 1 species
UCUGGCACCUUCGGUGUCCGAGUUGUAAUUUGAAGAAGGUAACUUUGGAGUUGGCUCUUGUCUAUGUUCCUUGGAACAGGACGUCACAGAGGGUGAGAAUCCCGUGCGAUGAGAUGUCCAACUCUAUGUAAAGUGCUUUCGAAGAGUCGAGUUGUUUGGGAAUGCAGCUCUAAGUGGGUGGUAAAUUCCAUCUAAAGCUAAAUAUUGGCGAGAGACCGAUAGCGAACAAGUACAGUGAUGGAAAGAUGAAAAGAACUUUGAAAAGAGAGUGAAAAAGUACGUGAAAUUGUUGAAAGGGAAGGGUUUGAGAUCAGACUUGGUAUUUUGUAUGUCUUGCUUUCGGGUGGGGCCUCUGCAGUUUACUGGGCCAGCAUCGGUUUGGACGGUAGGAUAAUGACAUUGGAAUGUGGCACUACUUCGGUGGUGUGUUAUAGACUUUGUUGAUACUGCCUGUCUAGACCGAGGACUGCGUCUUUGACU